ensembl:lncRNA
CGUUUGCAAAAAGUGGGCGUUUCCUGCAAAUGUCAUUUCUCACAAAAUCAGGUGAUAAUGUUCGCCCAGCAAUGCAACUAUCUCUUUAUCUAUAGAGACAAAAGAAAGAUAUUACAGAAUGAUCACUCUGAAUGGCCGCCCAUCCAUGUAAAUAUCUCUAUUUGUAAAGACAAGAAUGAGGUUUAAUCACCGUCUUAAUGUGUAGUGACUGGGUUUAUUUGUGAAGAUACUGAUGAAUGAAAACAUGGUUCAACCCAAAAGAAAACCUGUCAGCUUGAGCUUUAUUUUAUAUAGCUUUGUUCUUUCAACUUUAUGUACAAAAGCAAAUAGAAAUAACUAUAUUUUGUAAAAAAAAUUUCCUGAAUUUUGCGCCAUCUGGCUUUCUCUAUGGUUCCCUACUGCCGUCUAACUCCACCUGCCACCUGAAAGAAAAAAAUAAUAAAUUUAAAGGAAGCAAGGAGCCACAAACCGUAGAGGCUAAGCGAAGAAGACCUUCAUCGACGUCGAACUCUACCUGCCGCCAUAUACCGCCAUAUACCGCCAACCUACCGC